AACCUUCGUCACAUAGGACUCAGGAGUAGUAGUCUGCCGUGCAGGUUGUUAACAAAGGUAUUUAUGUCCUUGGAACAUCUUCAAACUGUCGAUUUAUCCCAGACAAGUAUUUCAGAGGUUACGUUGGCAACUAUGGGCGAAAACUGCAAAAACGUAAGGAUCCUUAACUUAUCUGAUUCAUCUGCAACAGAUAAAGGUAUAGCUGGUCUUAUACACGGACAUCAUUGUCCACCUACCAGGGAUCCCUUUGAAACCACUGCCCUCAGCAGAAAGUUGAUACAUCUCAAUGUUUAUGGAUCACACGUUACUUCGAGCGGAGUUCUUGCUGCUUUAGUAUAUAUGCCAAGUCUCCAAGAGUUGAAUCACUCCGAGUUGCUAGCAAGUAUAGCAAGACUGAGUUCGUCUGACCUUGAAUUACAUUUAUUUAAGGAAUAUAGGAAGAUUGGCUUAGAUGAAAAUCCUGUCCUGAAUUUACGGCGGUUGCAGUGUGACGAAUAUGGCUUUAACAUGUCGGGUAUAUGCUGUGAUGCUAGUUUAAUUAGUUUUGGUGUGACCAUGUGCCCACUUGUUCACUCUAUUAAUUUUGGAGAUUUAAUAUCUGUAAGAAGUGAGAGUUUAUUACCACUUUUACAACUAAAUGAAAUUGAUGAUCUUACGCUGUACUUUGAAGAAAAAGAAGAAGUUGAUUUUUACGAACACAUUUUGCCACUCCUGUUGAAGUUUGGUCCUGGGUUACGUAAACUUCAUCUGCGUUCUGUUCACAAGGUUAACUUGAAAGUCAUUGGCUGUCUGUGUAAUGAACUGCAACUUCUCAGACUCAUGUCGAACUGUUAUUACUGUGACAGAAACCCAGGCGAGGCCUUUUCCUCCUUGUCGAAAGUGCAACCAAGUUUUCAACACCUGAAAAUCAUUUCUGUUGAUAAUGAAGUUGGAGGUAAUUUGCAUGAACACAUGAAAGCACAAAUACCAGUUGACAGCAUAAGACUUCUCCUCCAGUCUCCUUGUUUAGAAGAAAUUUCACUCAUUGAUCAAGAUGGACUCACAGAUGAGGUACUAAUGGCUUGUGCACGCGAAACCAAGCUCCCAAAACUUAAAGAAGUUCAGUUUGUAGUGUGUAAUAAUUUAACUGUGACUUCCAUUUGGGAGGUGAUGCACUUGAAAAAUCCCAUGUCCACUCUGAGACUUAUUGACUGUAAACAAAUAACUGUUAAUGACUAUAAAGAUUUAACUACAUAUGUGAAAAGAAAUAAGUUUGCUCUAGAUGUUUUAUGGAGCUAGUACCAAGCUAUUGCUUCUUAACAGGUUACUGCUCAGUGCAUCUUGUGUGAUGUUCUAAAUCAGUGUAAAAGGAUCUCUGCAGUUCCCAUACAGCUCUACCCUGCAUUGAUAUUCCUCUUCUUUUUGUCAAUUCCCGUUGAUCUUCUUAAACUGUGUUGUUCUCCUGCUUUCAUUUCCUAUUCAUGAACAAACCCUUUAGGUCAGCUUUGUGAGAGCCAAAGAAUUCUUACCUAGAGAUCUGAUUACACUUUGAAGAGAAGUUUCCAUAUGAAGACUGAAGAUUAAUGGAGAAUGCUCAGCACUCAUUUUUCAGCACAUUUCCAUUCUCCAGCUGAAUGUUAUAUGUAUUAAGUUGUGUUUGCAUGCAUAAAGGCAAAAGUGACUGGGAUUACAAGGAUACUUCCAAGUGUGCCCCAAGGUCUGCCAGGCGACAUCCUUCCCAGAUGGCAGACAAGUACCUUCGAUAAUUCCCUUAACCAGUUUGCCUCAUGUAUCCACCUUUGCUGCAUUUCCUCCUCAUCCUUGAAAACCACCAUCACCACCUCCAGAACUUUGCAGCAACUAUAUCUUGGUCCAUCGGUUGUGAGUGAAGUUGAAUUAGGAAGCAAAUGCAUAACCCUUGUUGUCCUUUGGCAUCAAUCAACUGGGUUAUUAUGGCAGGAUGCGCAGGUGCAUUGUUGACAAGAAGCAAGGCCUUCAGCCAUGUCUUGCAAUGCUUAGGUCCUAUGACUUAUGGUGAACUAAUCACCGGGAGACUAGCCAUCGAUCCAGUUUGAAACAGUGGCUGUCAGAAGCAUUUGCACAUAAAGCAAACAUUGUUUGGAAAGCUUUUGAGCAGGGAAAUUCUUUUCCUUCAUGUCAGCCAAGGUGUUAGUGGACAAGGAACUAUCAAGUAGAUUGGUUUUUUUAGUGCUACAUAUACUAGACUUGACUUGAAACAAGCCCUUUCUUUCAUGUGCCAAAAUUCCUCUAUUCCUCCUCCAAAAUUUCCUAAGGCUUUACCAUGAAUCUUCUUGUUGGAGAGCCCAUGCUGACCUUUGAACUGAAACAGCCAACAUUCAGAUGCCUUUUAUCUUCACAAUAUGUAAUGUGGAAAAUAGAAAAUGAAACAAAGGACUAAAAAUCACAGUUUAUUGGACGGCACUUUUUUCUUUUAAAGGAAUGUUUAGUGCAAUUACACAGUCUAAGAAAAAUCUAUUUAAAAGGAAUUGCUUGACACAUUAGUUUGCAACAGUAAAGAAUAACUUUAGCUUUGUACACAUUAAGAAAAUGGGGUGAGAAUAUGUAAUGUACUGUACUGUCUAAGCAAGCAACAAUUCCUUAAAGACACAUUUUACAUAACUUCCAAGAAAAUAACAAGAAGUAUAAUGCUUUCUAUAAAAAAAGAGCAUGAGUUCUCAAAAUACAAAAUUUUACUUAGUGAAAUGCAAGAUCUCUGAAAGUAAAAUCUUAAAAAGUAGUUUUUCAUAAAUAUCUCCAUCAAAUUGCAUGCAUAAUUGAAUGUAUAAAUUAUUUGUUACCCUGAAAAUGUACAACAGUUAAGGCAGUGAUGAUCAAUAUUACAACCUGCAGUUAGAACCAAGCAAAAUUCAAUUUGCAGUGUACUGUACAACAAUCUCAGUCUAACCACCCUUUCUCUGGCUACAAAAAACAGAAUACCCUGCAGAAAUGAGACUAAAUACACACACCACCCUAGUUACAUUCCUGACGGCCAUUAGUCUGUUGAAAUUGUUCAUAAGUUGGUUACUGUACUCUUCUCUUCUUGCCCAUUGAAGUACAGUAUGAUAUAAAACCAAUGCAAUAUUGUACGUUUUUCAUCCUAAAAAACAAUAUGUACACUGUGCACACAGCACUCCACGUACAGAAUAGGUGCGCAAAACACAAUCUGAACUUACGGGUGGCAAGAGAGAACGAUCUAAACACAAUUUUAACUAGUAAUCCGUUAGUAUCUCUGAAUGUUUGCCAGUUGAAUGUAGGUAAGUAGGGUGGUGUCUGUAUAAGCAAAUAAUCAUUAUCAAUAAAUAUACUUCAAUUGGAAAAAAAAAUUGCUUAAACAUUUUAGGUUUCUCUGAAUAAAUACAAGUUAAUACAUACUAAGAAAUAUAUUAACUACAGUAUACCAAUUAAGUGAACACCCCUAGGUCAUUGGAGAGAAAAGCCAGAGUGGCCAUCAAGUAAUGCUGUCACUCAAUCACGAUAUAUAAAUAGAUCAUUUGGUUUAAAAUUAAAGCCUUACUGAGUAUAGCAUUAACAAAAAAGAUAAAAAAAAAAGGCAAAGAAGACUUAAAUCUACACAGAGUACAGCAAUAAGUAGAAAUCAAGCUGUUUGGUUUAUCAUAACUUAACCAUUAUGUAAAAUUACGGAAUGUUAAAAGCCUAAGAAAUAAAAUUCCUAGAAGGCAGCCACUCAAAUAACUGUAUCUAUCUAUUUCUCUCUCUCUGUCUUCUAUUCCUAAUUCGAGAUCAUAAUGGCACGCUUCAGCAAUCAGAUUGCACACAACAAAAAUUUCACACGCGUCAGUCUUAGUAACGACUAUUUUUCCUAAAGGCAAAUGCCAAGCAGGAAUGAAAGAAAACAAUUGGGCCCAAUGCUAAAUGUGGCGACAGGCACACAGGAGAAUUUACACUGUAGGCUUUUUACUUUUUACUUUUUCAAGCUUUAACAGAACAGAUGCAGAGUAAGCAAACGGGUAGGCGUGACAAAUCCCAACCUUUCCUAGUCUGCCAUGACCUGAUCUAACCAGACCUUACCUUCCUACCCUAACUUAGGGUGCCAUGACCUGACCCCUCCAAGGACCACUGAAUAUCCCUGCCUUCCUACUCUGCAUACUACCCAUUUUAAGAUGUCUCUUCUUGAGCAACAAACAAAACCAUGAUACUGACUUCUAAUAAAAAUUAUCCUGGCAGGUCAAAUGGAUCAAUGAGCACAAUCAGCAUGUGUUCACCAUUACCAGUUAAUUAAUUUGUUCACAUUACUGUACUGUUUCUACUAUCUUUAUGUUGCAUACUUUGCAACAUGCAUGCACAAUGUAACAAGAAUUGAAAUUGCUUCUUUAUAUGGAUGUAAUUCCUAUACUUACAAAGACAUUUAUACUCUUCACAAGCCAGACUUUAAAGCAAAAGUCUCAGAUAAUACAGCCAAAGUUCACACCCUCAAAUACCCCUAAGUAAAUUUCUUUUAAAUACAUUCAGUAAUGUGGUAUACUUGUCAUGCACCACGCUUCUCCAUCAAUAAAUAUUUUCAUCCUGUUAUGCAAGGACACAUGUUUUUGUAUGUGGAAGACCUGAUUCCUGAUCAACUAAUUAAUGAGAGGUACUGACACCACCCUAUUUACAAAUGAGUUAUGUUCCAUACACCCAUUUGUAUGUUGAAUUGUUUGAAAGUUGAUUACUGUAUUUUUCAUGUUUAAUUAAGUACAGUUGGAUAUAAAAUCAAUACAGUACGUGUACUGUAUGUUUUUUAAUCCUAAAGCACAAUACACCGUACAUAUAGUACACGCGGUCCCUGGUUGUCGCCAAUCCAGUUUUAUGGGGCUUGUCUAAGCGCCAUAAAAUCGGCAAUAUAUGGGGCCAUAACGGGCCAAGUUCCGGUUAUCGAUAAGGCACCAAUAAUACAGGCAGUCCCUAGCUUAUGACGGAUUCGGCAUACAGCGUUCCGAAGUUACAACACUUUUCAAUUAUAUUUAUCAGAAAUUAUUUCCAGGUUUAUGACGCAUGUUCCAGGGUUACGACGCCUACAAUGCUGAUCCGGCACAAGAAAUAUGACUCCAAAAAUGCAAAAUAAUCAAUAUUUGAAGGUUUUGUAGAUGAAAAAUGCAAUAAGAAGGCAGUUUACUUAGUUUUUAAUGUACCCAAAGCAUUAAAAGUAAGGUUUUCUUAGGAUUUUUUACGAUGUUCCGGCUUAGGACGAUUUCCAGCUUACAACGUGUCUCAAGACCGGAACCUCCAUCAUAACCCGGGGACUGCCUGUAGUUAUGGCACCAUAACAUAUACCCAACAGAGGAGCUUAUGGCGCCGAUAACCGGUUACUGGCGCCACAAAUCGCCGAGUUUCGGUUAAUGAUGCUUUCCGCUUAUCGGCACACCCCCAGGAACGGAACCCCCGCCGAUAACCAGGGACUGCCUGUAGUGUAUGUACGGAAUAGGCAGAAAACAAAAUUUGAACUUACAGGCAGCAAGGAGGAACGCUCUGAAUACAAUUUUAAUUUGCUAUCCUGUUUGUUUGUAUCUCUUAAUGUUUGUAAAUUCAAAGUUGGCUGUUAUUAAGCAGGGUGGUGCCAGUAUUAAGAAACCUGAAUGUACAACCUUUUGACAAAAUAACUACAACCUUUCUGCUAGAUUGUCAAAGGCUGACUGUGACAAAGGCAAAGGCAGUGUGCUAUACAUAAGUGACCAACUGGAGUUAUGUACAACAAAUCACUACUGGAUAUACUUACAAUAUUAGCAGAGGGCAUUUAUGCUCAGAGAUCUGCAUUCACUCUGGCUGUGACACCUAAUGCUUCAAGUUUCAAUGCUCAGGUUUUUCAAAACGGAGUAUUUCUUGGAUAAGCAUUCCCUAAUAAAAUUACACUAUGAGUAUUUCUUGAAUAGGUAUUCAGUUGUCAGAUUAAAAGUAUGAAAAAAUAAAAUAUAAAAACAACCAUACAGAAUCAGACAUGAAGACUGUGGAAUUUGAAAGAUCACAUUCUCCAAAACGGAAGCAAAACGAUUAUUAUAACUGACAAAAAGUAAAAGGUUCACCAUGUACAAUAAAGUUCCACAUUCAUCAAUUUAGGAGAUAAACAUUCACAUCAGUUACAGAAAAUGUUGCUUAUGGGCUCAAGACUAUGCCCAUAUAAAAAAAACUCGUCUAUCCUCACAAUAUUAAAAAAAUGGACAACCAUCAAGCCAAAACAAAAGCACAUUUUAAUCUACAUUUUGACCGCUUCUAAAAUACGUAGGUCUCGACAUAUUCGGUGAACGAUCAAUUUUAAACCCCAACAAACUUAACAACUCUACUGAGGAAGCAAUGUAACACUCAAAUCAAACUACCCUUGAAAUAUCACAUCCAAGUUGUCACUCAAAAUUCACUGUAACUUCAUUGAAAUUUUUUAUACGAUUUGCUUGCCAGUGAAAUGAGCUCAAGAAAUCAUGCAGAGGGCUGCACACUUAUUGCCUCUAGUGCAACUAAAAUUAAGUCACAGAAUCGCACUAUCAAACCUAAAACAUUUCAUUCUCCUCUGGCAUAAGGACAAAGGCUAUGCCAGAACUAUAACAGUACUCCUUAAGCAAAAGCAACAAAAUUAAUGUAUGAGAUUUUCACUCAAAAUGUAUCAUAUAUCUUUGGCUUUAGUUCCCACUGAAAAUUUUUUUCAAACUUAUCUAAAUAUCAUAAGCUUCAAUUCUAAUAUACUUUUAUGAGUUUACCCUUUAUGUAUGGUUUAUUGCUGCUAAUUAAGUUACUCAUUACUUUCCAGCUGAUGUACAAACUAUGAUGAAAUUACUUGUGGGCAGUCCCCAGCUUACCGCAGGGAUUCAGUUCCUGGCAGUGGGCUGUAAACCAGAACUUCAUAAUAAUAAUGGAAUAAAUGGGGCUUACGGCCCCAUAAAAUCAGGUAACUGGCACCAUGAGCCAAGGGCUGUAAAGUCAGAACGAUGUAACCUGGGGACUGCCUGUACUUGGACAAAUAUUGAUCAAUCUUGAAAAUUUUAUGGAACUAUGAAUUUGUUUUUAUCGCCAUACUAUAAACCUCCUCAAGAUCUGUAAAAUAACAGUUUCACCCUGCCUUUCCAACUACUAACAGUUCUCUACUUUUCCUAACACGCUCACUCACUGUGCAACAUGAAUCUUUGUAUGGCAGAAAUGUUAACUCCAACAACUGAAUUACUGCAAUUCUGAUGUUCAACAAAAUAAUUUGUCUAUAGUCCACAAAUGACUGACCAAAGUUUUCCCUAUUUAUAAUUUUAUAUUUUCUCUCCUUUGCAAUCUAGCAUCAUGGCAAAAGGAAUUGAAUUCUCUUGCUUCUUUCCAACCAUUUUAUCACGCUGAAAUAAACUGGCUAGUCCCAUCCUCUCAUUAGUCACUUCUCCCUGAAUCAUCUACCUAACAAUAAACUUUCAAGUUACUUGCCAAUCUCAAAGAGGGAAAAGUAAUGAAGGCAAUAUCAAAGUGUAAGUGAUAUUCCAUCCAAAAGUUGU